GUACCCUUGGGACGAGGUGUAGAUACUUCUUCCAGGACAAAGCCAGGGACAAGGCUUUCCCACUGCAUCAUUCAGAGAGCUAUCACACAGAAGAAAGCCAGAACAGCAAGUAUCCUGGAAGCCAGGAGCUCAGGACUUUGCAGUUGCUAUGGAUGACUGUGUGCUUUUCAGAGACGCUCUGGUCCUUACUUUAAGCAUUGCUUCCUGGCUCCAGUGCAGAACUCUCAGCCUACUGGCCCAUAUCCUUCAUUCCACUGGCACAUUUUAGCUUCCACUGCUGACCUUUGGGGCUUCCUGACGCAGAUCCAUGAAACAGACUUGCAUAAGACAUUGUCAUGGGCUCUAGGCAUCCAGUUGGACUCAUAGAGGACCCUGUCAUGGGCUCUAGGUCUUCAACUGGACUCAUGCAGGACAUUGCCAUGGAAUCCAGGCCCUCAGCUGUAUUCUUUGAGUCUUUAGCGUGUGGACAGAUUUCCUGAACUUUUAGGUGACUCUUUGGGUGACUAUCAUAAAAUAGUCCUAUAAAUUAUGUGUCUUGUGUUAAAUUGUUUUCCUUGCAAACCCUGACUACAACACCUGAGCACGUUCACGGAAGUAAGCGAGAAAGUAAAGAGGAUGAGAUCACUGGAAAGACCUCUUGCAGGGUUUGAAAAAGCAGACGCUGGAAAGCAUACUUUAUUGGAGAUACAGAAGUUAAGAGGAAGCAGGAAAGGACUAGAAUUAGAAGGGGCAGAUCUUGAGUUAAUUAUCUUCAAAGACAAGUAACCAUGUAGUACUGGUGGCAGCGGCGGGGUGAAAGUCAUCUGACUCCAACAAACGCAGACAUCUCCAGAACAAACACAGGUCCAGUUUAACGUACUCCAGUGGUCCUGUGUUGGCCAGUGGAUAGUGAAGGAGGAAAAACAUGUUUAAACCUUUUAAACUGUCUGGCUUAAUGGAGAUUGCAAAGACAAACUGUUCUCAAUUUUUUUUCAGAACACUUAUUAAGUAAAUAUUCUUCAUGACAUUCAAAGUAAGGAAAUCUUUCAGAGUUCAAAGCAGGCCUUCCUAUUUCUUUUUCUGCCCAUGCUGUCUGCUGUUUCCCUGAAGGAUGAUGUGAAUUGUGUUUAAAAAUGUUUUUCUUCCCCAAUUAUGAAACCAGUGCAUAUCAUUGUACAAGACAUAUAAACCUGUGAAAAAUAUUAAGAAAAUGUAAAUUGGUUAUAAUCAUACUUCCUAGGGAGAAUAAAUUAG